GUAUUUGAUUGCGUUUUAAGGCAACAUGAACAUUCUAUGACACAUUCAGAGUAUAUGAUACAUAAGCCCGAAGGCCUACGGUGGGUUCACAGGUGUGUUGUGGAUUUAAGAGCUCGGGCGUGCACAUGCCCCGAAAGGCCAGCUACAACCCUCGCCGGUAAUUUCAAUAAUGAUCCUUCCGCAGGUUCACCUACGGAAA
rnacentral:misc_RNA from 1 species